AGCGCACGGUGCGCCUGCUCUUAGUUCCCAUGAUCUGCACCACGCCAAGUGUGUCUGUUUUGAAGCAGAGCUCCCUUCGUUGUCUUAGGUACUAUUCUUCCCACCCACCUGGAGUUCACAGUUGAUUUUUCUAUGUCUGUGCUCACAGUACACUUUGCUUUCUCUCUUUAGACAUAACCUUGAAUUUGUUCCCUACUUUUCAAGGUGCCUUAUAUAAUUUAUUAAGACUAUUUUGAAUUCUAGUUCUAUCUUUUCAAGUGUCUGUAACUCCAAACUUAUCAGUAUGCCUUUAAUUCUGUCACCCAGAAAAUAAUGAAAAUGCAGAACAGACUAUGAUAUGAGCACUAGGACUGAAUCUUCAAGAUCUCUAAUCAACAAGAGAUGUGUUUUAUGAUACUACUCUUAAGGUCACUCAAACUUAGCAAAAUUAAGAUGACAUUGAAUUAUACAAAAUUCUGUUUAUUGAUAAAGGCUGAAUUAAAGAUGACACUGAAUUGUUAAUGACGUUAUCCAUUGCUUUUCUCUAGGUUAAAAUUUCAUCACAGAAUAUCACCACUCUAAGUAUAUUUGCUAGUUGCAAGACAAAAAUAAAGUUAUAACCAAGAGCUUGUAAAGGUGAUCUCUACUACCCUCGCUAUUGUUACUGUAGAACAAUAGAAAAUUCAGUAAUUAGCUACUUUGUAAAUAUAAAAUUACAACAUAUAUUUUAAAUUAACAUGAGAAGCUACAGAUAAUGAUCUGGGCAAUUGAGAAGAGUAUUAACAGUACUCCUAUUAUAAAAUUAAAUUGCUGGAUGACUUCAUAAGAUACUACACUGAAAGGGGUAAAAUAGUGAAAAGUAACUUUAGGGCUAAGGGUAGAGUGCAUGCUUAACAUGUUUUUGGGCUAGGUUUAAUACACACACACACACACACACACACACACACACGCACACCACCUUAAAAAUAAAAUACCCGGAGCUAAAGCAGAUACUCUUAAAACAACAGAGAGUGUAGUAGUUGCAUCUCAAUAUUUGAAAAGUCUUAUAUUGGUGCUUUUACACUAAAUAAACAAACUUAAUUUCAAAAUAUUUGAUCAAAAACAGUUUCUAUGAAAGUAUGUCUGUCAUUGCUAAUGCACAUUACAAAAGAUACACACAAUAUCUGUAAAGUUAACAGCAAUGUCCUUGAAGAACAGUUUUUGGUUAACUAAAAAUAUUUACUGACUCAUCAUUUAACGGCUCUGCAUCAUAUCUUAGUUGAUAUUUUCUAAUUUCUUUUAGUUUCAGGUUAUUUCAGACGUCUAGGUUAGAAAGACAUGCUUGUUAUUUAUAAACUACACAGGAAUAACUCAAGGGAGAAUUAUAUUAUCUCAAUAGAUUCAGACUUAUGGAAUGUCUGAUAAAGGGAUAUUUCUAAACAGAAAAAGGAACCUAUAUCAAAAGAAAAUAAAUCUGAGCUGUGAUGUUCAGUGAGGAGUCAGUGAACUGACCUUGGAAUUGUAUUGUAUAAACACACAAUUCUUUCCCAUUUAGUUUUCUGCUGGCAUAUACAGUUCUGUCUGCAUGUAAUUGUUAAUGCAUCAUUUAUUUAUAUCAAAAGCCUGCCCUAGACAAGAGUCCUAAAAAUACAGUAAGAUGACAGUCUUUGUUCUGGGAGUAAAAGAACUUGAGAAAAUUCUCAUUCUUAAAAUAUACUAUUUUAUGAAAUCAAUUCUCAGAUACUCGGUUCCUAGUCAUUGAGCUAUGAAUUGCCUAUAAAUAUGUUCAAAUAUGCUACUUUACUUUCUUUUUUUCUAUGUGUUGGCUUUGACUGCUCAUUAGCACCUCUAGGACAAGACAGGAUGGUGAUGCAAAUCUACCAAUUUAGUAGACUUAGCCAAAAACUUUGGAUAUUCAUUUUCCUAAAAAAAAAUAUAUUUCAUCAUAGUUCUUGAGAUAUGCAUUUCUCUAGUGUCUAAGUAAACAUAAUAUAGAGAAAUUAGACAUUUAUUUUUAAUUCUAAUGCACCAUUUUAAAUUUUAAAACCUACUUCUAGUGAAUAUUUUCUAAUAUUUGUUUUUAUUAUAGUCAAUAGCCAAGAUUAAUGAUGUAGCGUAGGUGAAAACAUUUAAAGUAAGUAUAUAUUUUUAUUUGUUUUGGAACCAUCUAUUUAAGAAAGCUUAGAGAGAAAAUGUCACCGGGAUUUUUUGAAUUAUACAAUGAUUUUCACUGUAAAAGCCUUAGAAUUAGUAGAAUAUGACUUAUGAAUUGAAAUGAGCAAUAUGAAUUUACUAGUUCCUCAACAAACAUGAAGAAUUCUAGAAGUCAAAUGAAAUAAAGAUGCCCAGAAUGUGAAUCCAUCUAGCUGUAUAUAUGACAGUUCAUUUCUAUUAUGAUAAAACGGAGAUUCUGAAAUAACAAGCCGAUAAAUUAUCUCAAAGAUUUCAUUGAAUGAAAAGGUUUGUUUUUACUAAAUUUCUCUGAUUUUGCCAGCGUAGUUAUAUGUGGUUUUUCAGAAAGGAAACUUAAAUGUGGUUGAUCUAUAUAGGCUGUAUUUUUCCAGACAAAACAUCGUUAAUAUAAAAAAAAAGCUUAAAAGACAAAUUCUGAGAAGAUUGGAAGCUUUUUUUUUUUACUUGCAUUCUUCAAAGGAUCAUAAAUCUCCAGAUGUUACAUAUGAUGCAUGCUAACUUCUCUCAAGCCUGAUAUACAGUCACUUGGAAGAAUCAUGACUUUAUUUUAGAAGUCUAUCUUAUCUGUACUGGUUACAAGAAGUAUAAAGAACAUUUUAAGUGUUAAAGAAAGCAGUGGUAUCUAGGAUUCCCUGUCUGCAAUUUUUCUUCUCACUGUUGGAUUUUCCCCAAAUCGACAAUUACUGGAAUUGGUAUAAAAAUAUCUGAGAUAUACAGAAGGAAAAGAUACUAUUUGAAUUAUGGUGCCUACCUGAAUGUAAUAUAUGAAAGUCACUCAACACUUAUUGAUAAAAUUUGUUAAUUUUAUGAGCUAUUACAAAAUGGACAAAAAUGAAGGUAAGAGGCCCCUACCAAUUGUUUCAGGGCUCAUAACCACAAACUCAGAAAUUAGAUGUUGCUGACCCUAAUGACAUAGUUUCAAAGACAGGAAGAAUAUGCUCAUGAGUUCCUAUGAUUAACUAUUUGGGGCAUUCUUUUUUGACUACUUGUGGAGGCCGAUUCCAGACAACAAUAAAGAAACAAUCAUCAGAGAUAGAGAUAUCAAGAUAGAAAGGUACAUAUACACAAUUGGCUUUAAAAUGCUUUCAUGAAU